rnacentral:rRNA from 1 species
AGCGAACGCUGGCGGCAGGCUUAACACAUGCAAGUCGAGCGGGCACUUUCGGGUGUCAGCGGCGGACGGGUGAGUAACGCGUGGGAACGUGCCCUCUGGUUCGGAAUAACUCAGGGAAACUUGAGCUAAUACCGGAUACGCCCUUUUGGGGAAAGGCUUGCUGCCGGAGGAUCGGCCCGCGUCUGAUUAGCUAGUUGGUGAGGUAACGGCUCACCAAGGCGACGAUCAGUAGCUGGUCUGAGAGGAUGAUCAGCCACACUGGGACUGAGACACGGCCCAGAAUCCUACGGGAGGCAGCAGUGGGGAAUAUUGGACAAUGGGCGCAAGCCUGAUCCAGCCAUGCCGCGUGAGUGAUGAAGGCCUUAGGGUUGUAAAGCUCUUUUAUCCGGGACGAUAAUGACGGUACCGGAGGAAUGAGCCCCGGCUAACUUCGUG